rnacentral:rRNA from 1 species
AAAUCAAAUGAAUUGGCGGGGGCCCGCCCCAGCGGUUGAGCCAGUGGUUUAAUUCGGUGCAACGGGAAGAACCUUACCUUAUUUUGACCUUGUUGGAAAUUUCCCGAGAUGGAUUGGUGCCUUUGGGAAAGCCCCGACCGGUGGUGCCUGGCCGUUGUCAGGUUGUGUUGUGAAAAGUUGGGUUAAGUUCCGUAACGAGGGCAACCCUUGUCCCUUUUUGCCAGCAGGUAAUGGUGGGAACUCUAGGGAGACUGCCGGUGACAAACCGGAGGAAGGUGGGGACGACGUCAGGUCAUCAUGGCCCUUACGAGUAGGGCUACACACGUGCUACAAUGGCCGGUACAAAGGGUUGCGAAGCCGCGAGGUGGAGCUAAUCCCGAAAAGCCGGUCUCAGUCCGGAUCGGAGUCUGCAACUCGACUCCGUGAAGUCGGAAUCGCUAGUAAUCGUGAAUCAGAAUGUCACGGUGAAUACGUUCCCGGGCCUUGUACACACCGCCCGUCACACCAUGGGAGUGGACUGCACCAGAAGUGGUUAGCCUAACUUCGGAGGGCGUCA